rnacentral:misc_RNA from 1 species
AAGGAUUUAGUGCCUAUUUUCAAUUUAUCUCUUGAGCAGCCUUAGAAAAAGGCAAGAAUGAAAGAAAGAAUUGUUAAAGCUUCUUAAUCAAAGGCAUCGUGGGAAGAGAAUGGAAUAAAGAUAGUGAAUUAUACUUCAUUUUAAAUGCUACAUAUUUUUUAUGCUGAUUCUCUUGAUUGUGUUUUGGACACUCUGGGCUUGCUGUUCCCUUGGUCCUUGUUUUACCUCUGUAAUUCUGG